AAGAAAUUAGUUAAAUCCAUAACAUUAAUAUGUCAUGUUAAAAUUAUUAUUUAAAUAAUAUUUCUUU
rnacentral:tRNA from 1 species